rnacentral:misc_RNA from 1 species
UAAUAAUAAUAAUAAUAAUAACGAUAAUAAUAAACAUUGAAAUCCAUAAUACAUUGACCAGAAUAUAGAAAAAGAACAAUAAACAUUGAAAUUCAUAAUACAACGACCAGAAUAUGAAAAAGGAAGACGAGAACAGAGCACACACAUAUAACGGUGAAAUCGAUGAAUUUUUCUAGAUUAAUGUACGGAAUAUGCUCAAACCCAAGAGAUAUAGGUGAAAUCUGAGUCUAAUAAUUAUAGCCAUUCAAAACCUUGGCCUCUCCUUUCUUAUUUGCAAGCUCCAAGUGCUCUAGCUACAAAAUCAUUAAUAUGCUUAUCAGAGCUCCCUCCUUCACCGACUGUUUUUCCAGCCACCUGCCUCCAUUUUCUUGCAUUCUUCUUGAUCUCAUAGCUUUUCUUUCCUUCCAUUACUUCCUUCAAACAUCUAACCACUUCUUGUUUCCUCACAACUCCUUUCUCAUCCUCCUUAGCUCUAAUCCCCACUUUCCAAACAUCUUCCACAAACUUGGCAUUGGGCACUUGGUCUGUCCAUUGUGGUAUGCACACCAUUGGUACGCCAAGGCUCAGAGCUUCAAGGGUCGAAUUCCACCCACAAUGCGUCACGAAGCAGCCUAUGGUUUUGUGUGCCAGCAUUUCAAGCUGGUUGCACCAUGUCACUAUUAGACCCUUGUCAUUUAUUGAGUCAAUGAACCCAGUUGGCAGUUUAUGCAUUUCUGAUUCUCUCACAACCAAUAAGAAGUUUAAAUUGCUUUCUUUCAACCCCCACGCAAGUUCUUCCAUCUGUUUUACCGUUAAGGAAACCAUGCUUCCAAAAGAUACGUACACCACUGAUUGAGUUGCCUUUGUUUCUAGCCAUCUCAGACACUCUUCCCCAAGUGGAUUCCAUAGACUUGCUCCAUAUCCUUUAUCUCCUUCAAUCCGCCCAUCCAAGUAGGAAGAUGGCACCAUCGGACCGAUCAACUUCGCCGGCCAAAGCUUUGAUAUGCCUCCUGCCUCCUGUUUGAACAUACAAUUAGAUUUGUCAGCACUAACUGAAGAUGAUCAAUCACUGUGCCAGCUUAUUAAAGUUAAAUAAUGGCGAUAUUUAACACACACACGCACAUACACACACAUAUAAACCUUGCUUUCUAACUCUUCGAAGGUGUUUGCAAAAAUCCAGUCAGCCAUGUCCAAGUUAGAAAACUGACUCAAUUUCAUAGCCAAAUAAGCUGGGUAGCUCUCAGGCAACCUGAGAAAAGUUGGUAAGUCGGAGUAGUAUAAUGGAGGCAGGUCAGGUAAUUCCAAAGGUUUAUUAUCCUCCAACUCCAGGGGAAGGGUAAGUAGGCCAUGAUGUAUUCGACAGAAAAUGCUACACACUGCGGCUGAAUUAGUAAAAAAUGGAGCCCCAUAGAUGCCAUGUUGGAUGGCAACAUCAAGAGCCCAUGGCAGAAAAGAAUCAUAAACAAUACAAUUGACAGGAACACUAGAGUUGUGGAAUUUUUGGAUGAGCUGGGAAAGAGUUCUUGAGCCGUUGGCCUUGAAGGACUUGAGGUACAAGUCCACGUUCCUGGCCUGAGCAAAACCAGCUUCAUCAAAGCCAUCGGAAAUGGGUUCAACAGUGACAUUUGGAGCGCAUAUGGACUUGACGGUGUAAUGGGUAGUGGCCAAUGUAGCCUUGAGACCUCUGGAGGCUAAACGCUUAGCGAAUUGGAGAAGAGGGUUAAUGUGGCCUUGGCUUGGAUAUGGAAGCACCACAACGUGCCCUUUGAACUGUGUCUCCCUCAUAUUUCUUUCGAUGGCUUUCUCUGGUCACCGAUAUAUCCCUAUUUAUAGGCCAGAGGAAUACAAUUUGCCAUCAAAUCCAGAAUAAACAUAUGGAGAGGAAAAUUAAAUUUAAAUGAUAAAUCACAUUAUAAUUUUAAAAUUAAAUAAUACUUUAUUUAAUUAAUAUAAUAUUGCUGAAAAAUGGACCUUUUGUCUCUCUAAAUGUUGUACAAGUGUCUUCCAAACAAAAUCUGAAAUGAAGAAGGCGAGUAAGGGAGGGAACCAACUAGAUUAUAUAAGAUGAUUAAAAAUUGGGUGGAUUCACACCAUAACAUAGUUUGCAGCUACUACCUCCUAGUGUCGACUGCCGACAGGUUUAUUGCAACCAGGAUGGAUUCUUACUCCUCCUGAUAAGUUAGUUUAUGCUUUACUUAAAGAUAGAUUGUAUAGAAAUCCUUCUCAUGAAUGAAUAAAUCCUUCUCAUGAAUGAAAUCUCUUCUUCUUCUCAUGAAUGCUUUACUGGGCUGCAAGCGUCACUGCUGAUUCCAUCUCAAUGACGACUUGUCCAUGACAUGUCCGGUCAAUAAUAAUAAGUAUUUUUCUUGGCA